rnacentral:rRNA from 1 species
UACGUAGGUGGCAGCGUUGUCCGGAUUUACUGGGCGUAAAGAGCGCGCAGGCGGUCGUUCAAGUCGCGUGUGAAAGCCCCCGGCUCAACUGGGGAGGGUCACGCGAUACUGAUCGACUCGAAGGCAGGAGAGGGAAGUGGAAUUCCCGGUGUAGUGGUGAAAUGCGUAGAUAUCGGGAGGAACACCAGUGGCGAAGGCGACUUCCUGGCCUGUUCUUGACGCUGAGGCGCGAAAGCUAGGGGAGCAAACGGG